GUGGGGUCACUUUAGGGUUGCUCAAAACUCAUUUGGAAAGUUAUCCUAUUUCUGAAUGUUUAAACAACUCAAACUAUCAUAUUUAAGUGCAUUUAACUACAUGCAUUUAUUUGAGCAAGGUAAAACAUGUAGCAACCAGAAGCUAGUAUUUUUCCAAGUUAAACAAAGGCAUCAAGAACCUAACAAAAGUGAUUUUGCAUUUUUAUCUAUUUUCUUCCAUUUAUAGAGCAAAUAACAAGAUCACACCUAGCAUUACAAGGUUUGCCUUAAACCAGUGUGUUCAGCACCUAAACUAGUGUCACAAAAUUCAUAUCUAGAACAAGCAUGACACAAGUGCUCUAACAGAGGUGGAUGUACAUUUUUACCAUUUUUGUAUGAUUUAUGGGGCAUUUAUGUGCUUAAACCAAAAAUAAAAACCUAAGGGAAAAACACAAUAGUAACAUGUCCAAAACCAUUUUUCUGUAAAACUACUCACAUUUUUAGCAUUUUUCUACACUUUCUUAUGCAUUUUCAAAGUUUCAGCCGAUUUAAACCAAAAUAAAAUAGAAAAGAGAAAACACGUUUCACAAGAGGGUCC
rnacentral:lncRNA from 1 species